rnacentral:rRNA from 1 species
GACGAACGCUGGCGGCGUGCUUAACACAUGCAAGUCGAACGGAAAGGCCCUGCUUUUGUGGGGUGCUCGAGUGGCGAACGGGUGAGUAACACGUGAGUAACCUGCCCUUGACUUUGGGAUAACUUCAGGAAACUGGGGCUAAUACCGGAUAGGAGCUCCUGCUGCAUGGUGGGGGUUGGAAAGUUUCGGCGGUUGGGGAUGGACUCGCGGCGUAUCAGCUUGUUGGGGGGGUAGUGGCUUACCAAGGCUUUGACGGGUAGCCGGCCUGAGAGGGUGACCGGCGACAUUGGGACUGAGGUACGGCCCAGACUGCUACGGGAGGCAGCAGUGGGGAAUAUUGCACAAUGGGCGGAAGCCUGAUGCAGCAACGCCGCGUGCGGGAUGACGGCCUUCGGGUUGUAAACCGCUUUCGCCUGUGACGAAGCGUGAGUGACGGUAAUGGGUAAAGAAGCACCGGCUAACUACGUG